GGAAGGAUCAUUAUCGCUUGAUAAACAUCGAUAUCGUUUCAGUAUAUAACGGAAAAGGAACUAAGAAUUAAAAAAAGUGAACCGAGAAAUGUGAUAAAAUGGAUUAACGACUUUCAACAAUGGAUAUCUUGGCUCCCGCAACGAUGAAGAACGCAGCGAAAUGCGAAACGUAAUGCGAAUCGCAGAUUCUCGUGAGUCAUCAAAUCUUUGAACGCACCCUGCGCUGGGGAAUUCUUACGAAUGACCUCCAGCAUACUCGGUUGAGUGGGUAUGAAAACGAUGUGGCCGUUGCGUCAUGUGACGACGGAGUAACUUGUUUUGUGACAGGGGAAUGAAUGACCGAAUUUCCGACGCUCGCGUCGGUAGGUUUAAAUAUUCCGAUGUUGGGACGAGACUUGGUGAGGAUGGUUUAUGGACCUAAAUUUUAGACCCAUUUAGCCGCCGAAUUAAGCAUCGUAAUGGCAUUGGAUACUUGGAAGAAAUGUAAUUGAUAUACCCCUCAGCUCGAGUAGGAAAACCCGCUGAAUUGAAGCAUCUUAAUAAGCGGAGGAAAAGAAAACAACUGUGAUUCCCUCAGUAACGGCGAGUGAACAGGGAAAAGCCCAAGCCUGAAAUCCUGGGUGUGCCGCCGAGGUGGGUUCGCCUGUCUCGGUAAAAACACGGCUACCGGGAAUUGUAGUCUUUAGGGGCGCCCGAGGUCCUGCACGGUCUGACUGGUCCCAAGUCACAUGGAAAGGUGUGAAACAAAGAGGGUGAAAUUCCCGUAGGGGCCGACUCCAACAGGGGGAUGACGAGUGCUGGGAUCGACAGAGGGACGCCUUUUGCGAGUCGGGUUGCUUGAGAGUGCAGCCUGAAACGGGUGGUAUACUCCACCCAAGGCUAAAUAAGUGGCGGGAGACCGAUAGCGAACAAGUACCGCAAGGGAAAGAUGAAAAGGACUCUGAAAAGAGAGUAAAAAGAACUUGAAGUUGUUGAAAGGGAAGCGAUUGCGGGCCGCGAAGGGUGGUGGUCGAGUCGGAGUCCCCUAAGGGAGACGAUCGAUCGGCGGUUUAGGCCGUCGACGAUCCGGCUUUAAAGGCCAUACAACCGGCACGGGUUGCAAGGCGAGCCAACAACGGCUGUCGGACCGCUUGUGACGUGCCUGCAAAGGCGCGAAUUGAUGUAGCAAGCGGCCGACAGAACCGUGGGUGUCGUCAGCGAUCACGCGACGUAACCGUCGGAAUCACCGAAUUCGGACUACCGGAGAGCCGCGCACCAGGUUUGGGGACAGUUGUAACGGGGCAACUCGGUGCAAUAUGCUACCCAAACGUGUGUGCGGAGCUUACGGAGUGACCGGGAGCGGCGAAACCGAGGGUCGGUGCCGGAAAGGCAGGGCCGCAAUCGUCCCGUCUUGAAACACGGACCAAGGAGUUCAACGUGCGUGCGAGCAUAAGGGUGAGCAAAACCGACCGAUGCGAAACAAACGUGAUAAGGUGGGAAGCCUUUGCUGCUUAGCAGAGGCCGCACCACCGACCAGCCCGGAGGGACAACGGCCGGCAGAGGUCGCUCGAAGCGGAAACGGGGAGAGCGAUCAAAGCGAUCCAAACGGUUGUUGCACCGAUAAAGGCUAGAGCCGGAGUAUGCACGUUGAGACCCGAAAGAUGGUGAGCUAUGCUCGGGGAGGAUGAAGCCAGGGGAAACCCUGGUGGAGGUCCGCAGCGAUACUGACGUGCAAAUCGUUCGUCAGACCUGGGUAUAGGGGCGAAAGACCCAUCGAACCAUCUAGUAGCUGGUUCCCUC
rnacentral:misc_RNA from 1 species